GUAUGUUUCUCACCUCGUUAAUCAGAACUCAGCAUUUCUUUUUAAACUAGGGAAUUUCCACUUGCUGAAUUCACUGACUAGACAUAGGAUUCAUCUGAGAUGGAAUCUCUGGACAAAAUGGAGUCCUGAAAGAAAUGCCCUUAGUUUAAAUUGAAGACUCUACUAUUGGUUUGUUCCUGAAAUGUUGUGAUUUAAGAAAGUUCAUGUGAGGUGAAAGAGAACAAGAAGAAGAAACAGACAGCAAUUAAGACACACUGCCAAACAUCUGGAGGAGAGAGGAAAAGAAUUAUGGGAAACCAGAUGGAAAGAGUGCUGGCCAGAUAAAAAUGACAGCAAAGUUUCUUCAGAAUGCAAUGGGGUGGCAGGUAUUGAGAGAAGAUUAUGAGAACUGAGUCUUAGAGACCAUGGAAACUGUUGAAUUACAAGGCAUGGAAGACCUUGAACACUCUACACUUGAGGCUUGUUCCACUGAACUGCAUGGCCUAUUCCACAGGAAUGAAGGUGCCCUGGUAUACAUCUGAUGGCUCUUAGCCAGCAUCGAGCAUUACUUCUUGGAAAAUGAGGAACAGCACGUGCAUCGAAAUCAUCCUGAAUUUCCUGGUAGGCUAAAAUGCUCUUUAAAUGUGCCAGGGUCAUAGA
rnacentral:lncRNA from 1 species